UACAGAGGUCUCAAGCGUUGUUCGGAUUUAUUGGGUUUAAAGGGUGCGUAGGCGGUCCUAUAAGUCAGUGGUGAAAUAUCGCAGCUCAACUGUGAGGGUGCCAUUGAUACUGUAGGACUUGAGUGAAUUUGAGGUAGGCGGAAUUGACGGUGUAGCGGUGAAAUGCUUAGAUAUCGUCAAGAACACCGAUAGUGAAGACAGCUUACCAAGCUUCAACUGACGCUGAGGCACGAAAGUGUGGGGAUCAAACAGG
rnacentral:rRNA from 1 species